GAUAUUUCUUUGCAUCUAUCACCUAGGGGAUGUGUCUCUCCUCUGCCUGCACCCUGCCUUCAGGUUAUUUGCCUCUUCUCUUCUGCCUGGGCACUGCCAAAGAAAAAAGGAGAUUGUAGCAAUUCACUGGACCCAGAACCUAGUUGAGGGAGCAUUGUGACAUGCCACUGGGCUCAGCACCCAGGUGAUGUUCCUCUCCUGCCUGGUCCCUUCCAUCAGGGAAUAUUGUACAAAUCUCUGGCCAAGCACCCAGUUGAUGUGACUCUCCUGCUCACUACCUACUCACAGGUUACAUGUCCCAUGUCGCAGAAAAUGUUGUAAUGUAUUGCUGGACCCAGUCACCAGAUGAUGUGUCUCUCCUGCCAAGGCUGUGCCCACAGAGAGCAUUUUGACAUAUCACUGGGCUCAGCACCCAGGUGAAAUGACUCUGCUGCCUGUACUCUGCUUUAAGAGGGGAUUGUAAUAUAUCUGUGGCUGAGCACCUAGGUGAGAUGACUUCUGCGUGGUUUCUGACCUCAGGAAAGAUUGUGACAUAUCUUUGCCGAAAACCUACAUGAUGUGAAUCUGCUGCUCACUUCCUACCGACAGGAGGGAUUGAGACAAUUCUGGAAGCCCAGCACCUAGGUGAUGUGACUUUCAUCUUUUGUUUGGACCGUGUGCACAAAAGGAAGAGUGGCUUAUCACUGGACCUCACACACAGGAGGUAUUGUGACAUAUUCCUGGAGCAAGUACCCAGGAGAUGUGACUCUUCUUUUCUGUCUGGGUUCUGCAAAAACAAGUGAUUGUGACAUAUCAUCAAACCCAGCAACUAGACGAUGUGAUUUUUCUUCCCUGCUUGAGCCCUGGAUAUGCUGUGCAUUGUGAUAUAUGGCUGGGUCCAACAUCAAGGAGAGAUUGUGACAUAUCUCUGGAACCAGAACCUUGGUGAUGUGACUCUUCUCUCCUGCUGAAGCCAUGCCCACACAAGGGAAAGUGACUUAUCACUGGGCCCAGCACACAGCGCUAUUCACAGGGAAAAUAGUGACACAUCUGUGGGGUUCUCACCGAAAUGAUGUGACUCUCUUGCCUGGGCUCACCUCUCAAGGGAAUUUUGACAUAUUACUGGACCAAGCACCUAGGCCCUGCAUUUAUUGUGUAUUGUGACAUAUGGCUUGGUCCAACACCUAGGUGGUGUGACUCUCUACUUCUUCCUGUGCCAUGCCAAAGAAGAGGAUUGUGACAUAUCACUGGAUCCAGCACCUAGGAUGCAUAUGCCAGAUUUCCAGGCCCAUCACCUAGAUGAUGAGACUCUCCUCUUCUUUCUGGGACCAAUACACAGUGGGAAUUGUGAUGCAUCGUUUAGCUCAGCAGCUACAUGAUGUGACCCUCUUCUCAUGAGAUUCCUGCCCACUUGGGAGACAUGACCCAAAAAGGGAUUAUGACAUAUCUCUGAGCCCAACACCCAAAUGUUGUGACUCUCCUGCCUGGGCUGUGCCUAGAGAAAAUAUAAUAUGUCACUGGGCCCUGCAUGCAAGUGAUCUGAUUCUCCAGCCUGGGCCUUGCCCACAGGGGAGAUUGAGACAUAUUCCAGGUUAUGCAAAUGGAGGUGGAUUGUGACAUAUCAUAGGGCCAACACAACACACAGUCUACAGGUGGAAUUGGGACUCUCAUGCAUGGAUCCAGUUCAUCAUUGAUACUGUGACUCAGGUGGGAUUUUGACAUAUAACUGCACCCAGCACACAGGUGAGAUUGUGACUCUUGUAUGCUCAUCCUGCCAAAAGUUGAGUGUCACCCUCACACAUGGACAGAGACUUCUGGUAAGGUCUUGAAUCUUGUACAUGGACACAGUCCACAGCUGGAAUGUCAUAUGUAGAUCCAGCCACAGGUGUGAUGUUGACCUAUUUAUAAAGUUAGCUCACAGGCACAUUGAUAACUCUCAUACCUGGAUCCAGCCAAUAAAAUAUAUGUUGACUA
ensembl:lncRNA novel transcript